rnacentral:lncRNA from 1 species
ACAUCAUUUCCCACCCAGUCAACACUGGCAUGAAGAUAUAUUGACUUAGUUUUUUUCUGUUCAACAAUAAAUGCCUUCCCAUUUAAAUCACAGAGGGAUUAGCGGCCAGGCACGGUGGCUCAUGCCUAUAAUCCCAGCACUUUGGAUUACAGACAACCGCCACCACGCCUGGCUAAUUUUUGUAUUUUUAGUAGAGAUGGGGUUUCACCAUGUUGGCCAGGCUGGUCUCCAACUCCUGACCUCUGGUGAUCCACCUGCCUUGGCCUCCCAAAGUGCUGGGAUUACAAGUGUGAACCACUCUGCCAGGCUUUUUUUUUUCUUNNNNNNNNNNAGUAAGACUGUCUCAAAGAAAAAAAAAAGGGGGGGGAGGGAUGAGGGAUUAGCAAGGGUAGGCGUGCUGGCUGUAGAGAAUGAGGCAUGAAGAUGCUGCCUCUGUCUCCAUCUCUGCUGCCCACUCUCCACAGCUGUGACUCACACACUCAUGGACAGUACUGGCUGUAAACUCACUUGCUACUGGGCCCUCUACUCUGUUAAUGUUACAGAAAGCUACCGCUUUCCUGGCCGCCUCCAUUCAGUGAUCAAGCACCAUCUCUGGUUCUCUGGAAUCCACUUAUUCCUCCCCACAGCGGUGCCCGGCUCCGCAGCAACGGGAGAGGCAAUGACUUGUGCAGAAACAGGCUUAUCAAAGACCCGGCGGGCACUUACCGGUUAAAUAGAUUUGCUUCUUCAAAACUGUGGAUUUCAGGGAAAAGACAAGCAUUGCCAGUUUGAUAAAACAAACAUUUUGACAGGUGAAGGUGAACAGGUGUGCGUCCAGAGUGGCUGUGAGCAAUGCAAGCCUGCUUGGGUGUUGUAAUGACAGACACAGGCCAGGAUGCUAAGAGCCCACCCCAGGGGAGGCUGCUACGGGCAGAUGCCCACAUGGGCACCUGCUGACUGCCCCCUACUCACACAGGCAGCAACCCUAGCCAACCCCACCUCAACCCAACGAUCAGACUUGGCAUCACCCACCCUGGGCAG